GGGCAGUUAGCUCAGUGGUAGAGCGUCUGCCUUACAAGCAGAGGGUCGCUGGUUCAAGUCCAGCACCGCCCA
rnacentral:tRNA from 1 species